GGCCAAGAUUUCUAAAAAUCCUUUCUUUUUAUUGGUCUUAAUUAAUAUUCUAAUUUUCUGAGAUACUGAAUUUGGGAUUUUCCUUAGUUGUCAGUUAUAAUAAUCAAAAUUAAAAGAAAUAAACAUUUGAAAUAUAUCAGUCUGUGUGUAAUGAAUGAAUAUAAUAUACAAGUUUCACUUUUUGAAUGGAAUUAGUGAAAUAAAUCAACUUUUUGAUGAUAUUCUAAUUAUAUGACCAGCACCUGUAUGUUUUGCUUGUUUGUUUUUUCAGACAUCUGAGCAGCAGGAUGCUGGAGAGGGACUUUCAAAUCAAGAAGUAAGAGAUUAAGUUAAAAUGAAUAUUUAUAUCUGUCUCUUUAAUACUACAUAGUGCUUUAUUCAAUAAUGCAGCAGUGUAGCAAUCUUGUGAUGUUGCAGUACUUUUGUUUUACGAGAGGGGUGUGUCAUUCACUGGAAAUUCUUUUAUUUCCACCCAAACAGCUCCAGCAGAGCCCAGCUGUUAGCGAUGUUUAAAUACAAAUCAUAUGGACAAGUUACAGAGGCUUCCAAGUCCCGACGUCACAGACAGACAGUGUUGAUCCCAGCAGCUGGACCAGACAUUUCACUAAAGGUGUCAUCAAAAAAGAAACGAUACCUAUCACUUAAAACGCACACUCAAUUAUGCUUCAAAACUCAGGGUAAGUCCUGCCCACACAGACAAACUCACGUUGUUACAAUUUGGUUUAUUUUCUAUACGAUAGGAUCUGAGAGUGAGGGCACGAAUUUGACCCGGGUGUGGGUGCAGUCAAAGAAGAGAAGGAACCAGAGAAAAAGAAGAAGAAAUUCAACUGGAGCCAUGACAAGAGCAGCGAUCCCACUUAAGCAGCACCAUCUGGAUGGAGUGUGAUUGGAGGGCUGCCCAGUGUUAAAAGCUAGUGUGAGCUGCGCCUGGAGCUUCAGUUACAUUUGAUUUAUGUAAUUUUAAACUUUGCUGCUUUUGGCUUAAUAGAGCAGGGAAUGUAAGUAGCUUUUAUUCAUCAUAUGAGACAUGGUUUCAAAACAGCUCUUUCUUAUUUGUUUUUGUAUUUUAAUAAUUGGCAUCAGAAUAUAUGCACUAGAUAUAAAAUUUUUACAAUAACUAUAAUUGUUUAUAUAAAAAAGCUAUUUGUUUACUGAUCUUUGAUAGUUUUUACAUUAACAUGUUAUAAAGCAGCUAUUUAAAAUGAAUAGUUUUAAGUAUAUUUUGACGUUUUAAAUGAUGUUAAAGAUUUUAUAAUUCAUAAUGUUUGGCGCUCCGUUUUUCUUUUGUCUUUAUAUCAUUCCAUUUUCUUUCUGUUGUAUGCAUCUGGUCCAGUUCUUUCUAACCUGAAGGUUUUAUUGAUGUACUCAUUCGGCUGUUUGAUUUUAAUCAAUAUCUUUUAUUACUUCCAAUCCUAGCAUUUCUCUACCUUGCUCAUUCGUGCCUGAGCCAAAGUGAGGAGUCUGAGGUGCCAGAUAAUUUAGAUCUGCAGAGCACAGUCAAGAUUGAUGUUUGCACCUAAUAGGCCGUAGCUUUUAAGCUGAAUUCAAUCAGUCCAAAUCAUAGUGACUGAUUGCACAUAAAGAUUAGAUUUAUCUUUUUCUAUGCAUGCUGGGAACAUGAGACACAUAAGCAGUGUAGGGUCAGAGUUUCUGUUUGCUGAAUUUGUGCAUAUAUAUGGUGUUUUCCACUUAUUCUGUUCCUGUAGAUUGAUUGAAAAUUAUGCUUACAAUAUAAUAAUGCUUAUAAAAAAUUUGAUAAGCCUUAUUUUUAGCUACUAACUGCUUUGCAUGAUCUGAGAGUAGAUUUUCAGUAAAUUUCAAACUAUUAAGUGUUGCUCUUGAUGAUUCAUAUGACUGACUCAUAUUUGCAUGCAUUGUGUAAACACUCUUAAAGAACAGUUUUCAUAUUCUUUAUUUACUAAUUUUUCUAAAAUGUUUUUGUUUAUAGCUAGUAUUUUAUGUAUCAUAAAUACCCACAAUUAAAUUAUAUUUUCAGUCUUUGCAGAAUUUUGCAUAAUAAAAUAGCUUAAUUGAAAAGUAUUUUUUAUUUU
ensembl:lncRNA